CUAAAGGUUUUUCUAAAAUCCACAAAUAGUGAGAUAGAGGUCUUC
rfam:Tinamus guttatus contig32864, whole genome shotgun sequence.